rnacentral:rRNA from 1 species
AGAGUUUGAUCAUGGCUCAGGAUGAACGCCGGCGGUGUGCCUAAUACAUGCAAGUCGAACGCGUUGGCCCAACUGAUUGAACGUGCUUGCACGGACUUGACGUUGGUUUACCAGCGAGUGGCGGACGGGUGAGUAACACGUAGGUAACCUGCCCCAAAGCGGGGGAUAACAUUUGGAAACAGAUGCUAAUACCGCAUAACAAUUUGAAUCGCAUGAUUCAAAUUUAAAAGAUGGCUUCGGCUAUCACUUUGGGAUGGACCUGCGGCGCAUUAGCUUGUUGGUAGGGUAACGGCCUACCAAGGCUGUGAUGCGUAGCCGAGUUGAGAGACUGAUCGGCCACAAUGGAACUGAGACACGGUCCAUACUCCUACGGGAGGCAGCAGUAGGGAAUCUUCCACAAUGGGCGCAAGCCUGAUGGAGCAACACCGCGUGAGUGAAGAAGGGUUUCGGCUCGUAAAGCUCUGUUGUUAGAGAAGAACGUGCGUGAGAGCAACUGUUCACGCAGUGACGGUAUCUAACCAGAAAGUCACGGCUAACUACGUGCCAGCAGCCGCGGUAAUACGUAGGUGGCAAGCGUUAUCCGGAUUUAUUGGGCGUAAAGCGAGCGCAGGCGGUUUGAUAAGUCUGAUGUGAAAGCCUUUGGCUUAACCAAAGAAGUGCAUCGGAAACUGUCAGACUUGAGUGCAGAAGAGGACAGUGGAACUCCAUGUGUAGCGGUGGAAUGCGUAGAUAUAUGGAAGAACACCAGUGGCGAAGGCGGCUGUCUGGUCUGCAACUGACGCUGAGGCUCGAAAGCAUGGGUAGCGAACAGGAUUAGAUACCCUGGUAGUCCAUGCCGUAAACGAUGAGUGCUAGGUGUUGGAGGGUUUCCGCCCUUCAGUGCCGCAGCU